UACGAAGGGGGCUAGCGUUGUUCGGAAUUACUGGGCGUAAAGCGCACGUAGGCGGAUUGUUAAGUGAGGGGUGAAAUCCCAGGGCUCAACCCUGGAACUGCCUCUCAUACUGGCAAUCUUGAGUUCGAGAGAGGUGAGUGGAAUUGCGAGUGUAGAGGUGAAAUUCGUAGAUAUUCGCAGGAACACCAGUGGCGAAGGCGGCUCACUGGCUCGAUACUGACGCUGAGGUGCGAAAGCGUGGGGAGCAAACAGG
rnacentral:rRNA from 1 species